rfam:Brachypodium distachyon strain Bd21 chromosome 3, whole genome shotgun sequence.
AGUAUCAUGGGAUGAAACCUUAACAAUCUUAGGACACCUUCUGACACAGUGUUGUUAUCCUGUGAAUGAGAAGGCAUUUAUUUUCUGAUGAUACU